GGGUCAGCGUCCAGUCGCCGUCUGGAGCCAGCCCCUGACUACUUUCUCUGAAGACGCUGGCAGAGCCGGCUGUCCUAACAGGAUUUGCUAGAGAAUAACGAAAGCAGAACCGGAAACAGCCGUAGUACAUGUGGGAAACAACACGGACUGGAUGUAAACACUUCCCGCUUCUGCGAGUGGGGGGACAGGAACAAUGGAGACCUCUGCUUUAGAAGAUAAAGGGGCCUCUAGGAGAAAGGUUCUUCAGGGGCAUGAUAAAGCCCACACGAUGGUAGCACUAAUGAAUGUUUAUCGAGAGGAAGAUGAAGCAUACCAGGAAUUAGUUACUGGGGCAACUAUGUUCUUCCAGUAUUUACUGAAGCCAUUUAGGGAUAUGAGAGAAGUUGCAACUUUAUGUAAGCUUGGUAUUUUGAAAUCCUUGGAUGAGGAUGAUUUGGGUCCAAAGAGGAUAGUUGCCUUGCAGAAGGAAGCCAAAGAAUGGACCCAACAGGCUGAUGUAGCUGUAGUCUCUAUUCAGGACAUUACAGUGAAUUAUUUUAAAGAAACAGUAAAAGCGUUAGCAGGUAACAAUUUAAAAUUGUAUAUGAAGAUGUGCAUCAUUUUCAUUAAUCAACAACCAUUUGAGUGCCUCUUGAACACAAGGCACUGUGUCUCCUGGGAGCUGGGGAUUCAUUAUAAGAAUAAGCAUAACCGACACAAUGCAGUCUGGUGAGGGGAGAGAGAUCUCAUGUAUUGCUUCAAACACAUGCAAGAUGGCAGUAGUAGCUGGCCA